GUCUGACCGAGGCAGAACAUUAAGAUUAAUUGAAGAUUAAGGAGAGACAUGAUUGCAGGUAUGAAUUAUCUGAAAGUUUGUGAGGCAGAAGAUGGAGCAGACUAAAUAAGUGGAAAUUGCAGGGAAAUGGGUUUUGGUUCAAUAGCAGGAGGAUCUAGAUACUACAUGUAGCAGGGCUGUUCCACAGUGAAGCAGAAUGUCUCGGGAUGUGAGGUGGUAGAGAGAUGGAGGUGUGUAAGCUUUAUGUUCUUUGUGGCUUUAUUCUGUAUUUUAUGCUGUGAACUGUCCUGAGAACUUCAGGUGAAGGUUGCUAUAUAAAUUUAAUCAGUCAUCAUCAUCAUCAUCAUCAUCUUGGCCCAGUAGCAAAAUAGCAACCAGUGCAGGUCUCUGAGCAAAGAUGUUGUGUGCUGUCAGGGUAGUCCCAGAACUUUUACUUUAUGCCAGGCCUGAGCCUUGGAAGUUAUGAAAUAAUAGAAAGGUGUGGCUCUCAGCACAGCCUGAGAUUCUUUGCCUACCCAGUGAUUGGUAUUCAGAAUCAGCACCCACAUAAGCUUGGAUUGAGAGAAAGACUUUCCAAGUCAGAGGCUAGGACUUGCAAACAGACUUUAGCCCCAGAACGUCUCAUUUUAUGAAUUAAGUACUGGAAAUGCCUUGCUUAAUAAGGUCAGGCAUGUGAUCAACAGAGAAGGGCCCAGAAGGAGCUGGUGUUAAUGUAUAAACCAGGAUUUCUCAGGCAGUAACAGAAAGAGGCCAGAGCUUGUGGGGGAGCCAGCUUGCAUUCCUAGGCAGCAGAAGAAAAAUUAGAUCAACAGAGAUCUGGGCUUGCUGGCCUCGGCCCACCCGCCUUUGCUCUCUUCCCUUUUCAUUGCCUCUUGGUUGGCCAGUUUUAAUUAUUGCACUCUCCAUAUUUUAGGCUUUGAGUCCUCUCCGAUGCUCUGAUUGAUUAGUUCUAGCCUUGAAGCCCAAACAUGCUAAACAGCAAGGAUUUUAUAGGAGCUGUGUCAGGUUGGUGGCUUGAAGAAAACCACUUUUUCUCAAGGCUGAAGCCUGUCCCUGCAAAAUCAAUAAUGGACCCCAAGGGAGAGAGGAGAGCAACGGAGGGUGGGUGGGUCUAGGGCAAAUGAGCCCAAAUCUCUGCUGAUCUAAUUUCUGAUUUGCUUUGCUGGGAUGUGGCAUAUGUGUGUGGAAAGCUUUAGAUGCAUAUGUCACCUCUAAACUAUUCUCUGUACAUAGUUUGCAGGGAUCUGCGUAUGCCAUGAAUGUUGAAAAUGCUAAAAUACACCAUCUGACUUGGAAUCAACAAACCUGAGCAGGCCAAACAGGAAAGUGCAUAAAUGAGAUUUGGUUUGGAGAGGUAAGAGCGUUUUCACACCUGACACUGGAAAUGCCUUCGAGCUCAUUUGCUCUUUGUAGCUUUGUGUAUGGAUGGAAAGUGGGAGCAAUUUGCUUCUAAGUAGAUUGUGCAAUGCAUAUGAAAUUCAAAUCGCCCUUAAAAAAGCUUGGACUUUGGGUUCUAGUCCAAGUUGUGAGAUGGGAAGGUAUCCUAAUCUGGAAGCAAGGGAAAUCCUGGAUGUACUUCUAGGCAGUGCUUUUUUCCUAGAAAAAUAGGUGCCGGUACCCACCAUGAAGUUGUUACAGUAAGUGCCACACUUUUUAACAACAAAAAGAGGUGCUGGUACUGAGUACUCUUGAGUACCCCCUGAAAAAAGCACUGCUUCAAGGUACAGUAAUGAGCAAAUUUUAGUGAUUUUAAAAAGAAUGACGCACAGUGUACAAAAACUCUUAAAUUCUGUUCUCAAGGCUCAGGUGUCCCUGUUCUGAUACAGUGGUACCUCAGGUUACAUACGCUUCAGGUUACACAUGCUUCAGGUUACACACUCCAUUAACCCAGAAAUAGUACCUAGGGUUAAGAACUUUGCUUCAGGAUGAGAACAGAAAUCGUGCUCCAGCAGCGCGGCGGCAGUGGGAGGCCCCAUUAGCUAAAGUGGUGCUUCAGGUUAAGAACAGUUUCAGGUUAAGUACAGACCUCUGGAACGAAUUAAAUACUUAACCUGAGGUACCACUGUAUUACAUUAAGACACAAUUGAUGUUUGAGUGCUUCUGUUUCCUAUUCCAUCAGUUACUUCCACAAUCUCUUCAUGACCAGAUUUGACAUAGAGUACAUAUGCAGGUGGCGCUGUGGUCUAAACCACAGAGGCUAGGGCUUGCUGAUGAGAAGGUUGGCGGUUCGAAUCCCCGCAAUGGGGUGAGCUCCCAUUGCUCGGUCCCAGCUCCUGCAAACCUAGCAGCUUGAAAGCACAUCAAAAUGCAAGUAGAUAAAUAGGUACCGCUCUGGCGGAAAGGUAAAUGGCGUUUCCGUGCUCUACUCUGGUUUGCCAGAAGCGGCUUAAUCAUGCUGGCCUCAUGACCCGGAAGCUGUCUGUGGACAAAUGCCGGCUCCCUCAGCCAAUAAAGUGAGAUGAGCGCCGCAACCCCAGAGUCAUCCGCGACUGGACUUAACAGUCAGGGGUCCCUUUACCUUUACCUUACAUAUGCGAUAGAGAGCUGUGAUCAGUUCUGGCUCCCUGAAAAGUAGUCCUGUUUUCAAACUUUUGUUUAUCGCUUCCACACAAACAGGAUAUGACAAAUCUGGUCUCACAGAUUAUGCAGACUAAUAAACUGUGUCAGUACCUGCCUGGCAGAAGUGGCAAAAAUUAAUUUUCCAGACAUGUUAAAGGGAAAACUUCUGUUCCUGUUCUCUGAAUUUUAAAAAUAUGAACUUUAAUAUGGACUUUCCCCAGCCAGUAUUGUGCAGUAACAGAAAAGUUAUUUCUUCUUGUAACUAAAGUGGUAGUUUAUAACUACAAAUUUCUACUUGGCGUAGUUUCUCAGCUAAGCUUAACUGUGUACAGUAUUGUUAUUUCAUGUCAUGGUGGUGUUAGAGAUUAUUGAGUGCAGGAAUGUACUCAAGAAUUAAUGUCUGCUAGUGGGUUUCAGGGUGCUGGAAUGUAAUGAAGGAUGAACUGCUGUGUUUUGGGGAGACGUGGGCCAUAGUAACAAUUUCCAGAAUGUUUUAACUUCCAGUCUGUUGCUGCAAAACAAGUCUUGUGGGCACUUUAAAGAGUAACAGAUUUAUUGUAUCAUAAGCUUAUUUUUUAUUAUAAAUAUACAAAACGUCCAUAAAAAUAUCACAAAUGCACCACGUAUAAACAUUACCGAUAAGAGUCUUGGGUUGCAUAAGCUUUCACGGACUAAAUAGCAUGGUCACUCGUCCAUGAAAGCUUAUGCUACAAUAAAUCUGGUGCCACAAGAGUCUUUGUGGUUUUGGAAUACGGGUUGUAGAAUGGAGCUAUUUCAGGUUUCAGAAAGAAUCUGUUUUUAGCCUUGUUGGGCUGAGCACUUAAAUGUGGCAUCCUAAAGCAUGGAUACCAGUUAACUAGAAUAGUGCAAAAACACCACCACAGUUUCUGCCACUCACUGAUCAUUCGCAGAGCACAUGGCCUAAUAUCUAACCAACAUUAAGCACUGUUGCCCCCAUUGGUUUCAGUGGGAGAGAUACAAAUAAGCAUGCACUGAAUGCUUCUAUUUAAAUAAAUGUGACUUGGAAGUUCCAAACUGUGGCUGCGUUUCAAGCUUACAUACUUCAGCCAUAUUUGACAGUGCUUUGGUUCUGGAUGGGGCUGUGCAACCUAAAAGCAUGCACCUCUUUCGACUUCUGCUCUAAUCCUAUGCCCACUUACCAGGGAGUAAGCCCAAUUGAACUCAAAGAGACAAACUACUGAGCAGACUUGUCUAGAAUUGUACUGUAAUUGAGCAGGAUCCACAUAGGCACAGCAUCUCAAGUAUUUGCCUUCAUCCUAGCUGAAGGACAUAGAGCCACAUGGGUGAAACCAGCACAAGGGAAUAUUCUGUGGGAGAACUCUUAGACCCGCCUCUUGAAAUUCCUCCGUCAAAGGAUUCACAUCAAUUGUCUGUGAAACUGUUUCACCUGCGUUAUCUCUGCAUGAGUUUUUUCUGUGCCUAAAUGCCUCUAAGCAUGAUGGUUCCCACAACAAAACUUUCCAGGCGGUUUCUUUACAUGCUGAUGCAUGUGGGAUGCUUUUUCUUUCUACUCUUCUGAGAGAAGAGAGGCAAGAUCUGUCUGUCUCCUAUCUCUGUUCCUUCAUCACCACACAGAGACACUAAUAAUCAUGGAGCAGGAAUGCAUUGUGCAGACAGAGGAGGCCAGCAUACACAACUGUGGUCUGCAUAACAAGAUUUAGUGUACUAAUAUGUUUUUUGAAUUGUACAUAAAUAGAAUGACCUGUCCCUGAAGACUCAGAGAAGAUCUGCAACAGGAUCUGGAAUACUUUGAAAUCGUACAUUGUUUAAUUCAGGGGUUGGAGGCUAGUGAGGCUUUCCCCCCCUCCCUCCCCCAAGGGGGAACUGGCAGAGCUGGCUGAAGUGGGACAUGGUUUAAAGGAAACUGCUGGGCUGGAUCAGUCUGAUUAUCCAUCUCGCCCAAAUCCUGUCUCUAGGGCCUUGUACUCAUGAACUGUAGCAGUUAGUGGUAAGGAAACACAACAUCUGUGCUAUUUGAAGUUGGGGAAGGCUGACCAUGUAAAUGCUCAAGCCUGCUUAUUACAGUGAUGUAAUAACUUAUCUUGUUUCACAGCAGCUAACCACUAGCAUGCAAUAAAAUCAACAGGUCACCUAGAUACUUACUUGGGAGUAACCCCCAUUGAACUAAAAAAUCAUUCUGUCUGCAAGUCUGUUUAGAAAUGGAAACAUACAAUGGCCGCUGAACCUUACACUAUACACCUUUGUUGCCUAUAGGUAAAGGGACCCCUGAACAUUAGGUCCAGUCGUGACUGACUCUGGGGUUGCGGCACUCAUCUCGCUUUAUUGGCCGAGGGAGCCAGUGUACAGCUUCUGGGUCAUGUGGCCAGCAUGACUAAGCUGCUUCUGGCAAACCAGAGCAGUGCACAGAAACACCGUUUAGCUUCCCGCCGGAGCGGUACCUAUUUAUCUACUUGCACUUUGAUGUGCUACCGAACUGCUAGGUUGGCAGGAGCAGGGACCAUGCAACGGGAGCUCACUCCGUCGCAGAGAUUUGAACCAUCAACCUUCUGAUCUGCAAGUCCUAGGCUCUGUGGUUUCACCCACAGCACCACCCGUGUCCCUUGUUGCCUAUAAGACUCUGUUAAAUUGUUGCCUAUGGGCAGCACCAGAUUUAGUGUGGUGCUGGUAGCUCUCCCGCACAGGGGGCGCAAGGUGCAAAAUUGAGAAGAUCCAUUUGGGGGCACCAAACUUUGGACAGGGCGCCAUAUUACAGAAGAUCAACAAGGUCCGCUCUGCUAUGGGGGUACAUGAAGUUAUCUGUGUGAAUGAGGAUAUAGAUCAAGAGAAGAAAGUGAGCAAUAAACAAACAUGGAGGAAAUGGGAAGUUCCUAUAUCCUUGCCAUCUUCAACAUAUUGUGCAUAUUAUUAUUAUUAUUUAAAUGACGACGACAAACAUGCACAUCAGCAUGGGGAAGUUUGUGAUGCUGUCAUGUCAUUUGGCUAUGCUACAUAGGUUAUGCUACGUUUGGACUAAUCAGCACACAGGUCUGUUAUAUGGGGAGAGAUUCUCCAAGCUCCACCUAUCUAUCUUUAGUUGGUCCUGACCUUGGCUGUGUGUUUUGCUCAGAGAAGAAGACAGGAGACUUUCACAGCGGAACAGGCUACCCACAGCCUAAACAACACACAGGAGCCAAGACAGCAAGAGGGUGAAGUGCUGGGAAGUGUUUACAUCUCCCUGCUCCAGAGAGUAUGACCUCACUAACUAUUCUAAAUACGGGAGAUAAGGCACUGCUGCUGUUGCUCACCCUUCUCUCAGAUAAAAUAAGCCGGUGCAUGAGGCACCAGAGCAUUUCUUGAAGGGUACAGGAAUACUAGACCAAAAUGCUGCUUUAAAUAAUUGUUCAUAAUGGAAACGACAAACAGGUUGGCUAUAAAGAGUUUCCCCCACCCACUCGUCCACAUUUUCCUCAAGUGCUGUCAGCUUCCAUGAGCUUUUCAAUGCUGCCACAAAUGCCCAAAUAAUAAUAAAAAAAGCUUCCAUAUAAGAACAUCCCUCCGGGCUGCUUGCCAAAGGCGACCAAUGACAGGGCCUGCAAGGAAGGAUGACCCAACAAACCACUAACAUGACUGACUGCCAGCAUGUGGAUUUGAUGACCAGCACCGCUGUGACGGAAACCCAUCCCCCAGGCAGGCUGCCAAGUUGAAGAACAGGCUCAGCUGCUUAGAAAAGGGCUCAUUUAUUUUGUUCACAAAUGUGCUCUUAAACUAUGGGUUUUUAUGAAGUGAAUGUAAGCUGCCUUGAGAAUUUCCUGCUGAAAGGUAGGAUACACAACUGAAAUUAAGUAAAGAUAAACAUCUUGCCCACUGUGUCUCUGGCAUCACAUCUGCACCAAAUUUAAAACACAUGGCUUCCCCCCAAGAAUCCUGGAAACUAGCUUGCCCCUUACCAAGCUACAAUUCCCAGCACCCUUAACAAACUACAGCUCCCAUUACUACCAAGACUAAUGAUAGCGGAUAAUAGUUACAUAUUUUGUUCCUACAACUGUAUUGUGUGGAAAGCCAUUAUUACUCCUGUUUUACAAGUAGGAAAUAAAUACUGAAUUAUAACAAUGGGAUGAAGGCUAC
rnacentral:lncRNA from 1 species